CAAGAUCCAGACACUUUUUUCUUUUGCUGGGUAACUCUAGAGACACCAACUCCAUUAAUCAAUUUCUCAAAAUCUCACCCCAAAACAAAACACUCUCAAACUCCCCUUCAAUUGAUAACUCACAAUAAAUCUAGAUCCAUGAUUCUCUUCCUCCAUAGAUUUGAUAUUUAUUUUUUUUAGACAUUUAUAAAUCUAUUUUUUGGAUUUAUUAUUCUCU
rnacentral:lncRNA from 1 species